GGAGGAAAAGAAACCAACAGGGAUUGCCUUAGUAGCGGCGAGUGAAGCGGCAAUAGCUCAAAUUUGAAAUCUGCCAACAGGCCGAGUUGUAAUUUGAAGAAAGCAAUUCUGGAUGUGUCUUUGCUCAAGUUCCUUGGAAUAGGACAUCAUGGAGGGUGAGAAUCCCGUGAUGCGAAGGUAGCACAUCUAUGUAGAAUGUUUUCGACGAGUCGAGUUGUUUGGGAAUGCAGCUCAAAGUGGGUGGUAAAUUCCAUCUAAAGCUAAAUAUUGGCGAGAGACCGAUAGCGAACAAGUACUGUGAAGGAAAGAUGAAAAGAACUUUGAAAAGAGAGUGAAAAAGUACGUGAAAUUGUUGAAAUGGAAGGGCUUGAGAUUAGACAU
rnacentral:rRNA from 1 species